GACGAACCGUGCGAACGUUGUUCGGAAUCACUGGGCUUAAAGGGCGCGUAGGUGGUCUGUCAAGUCGGGGGUGAAAUCUUUCGGCUCAACCGGAAAACUGCCUUCGAUACUGGCAGGCUCGAGGGAGGUAGGGGUUGCGGGAACUACCAGUGGAGCGGUGAAAUGCGUUGAUAUUGGUAGGAACGCCGGUGGCGAAAGCGCGCAACUGGACCUCUUCUGACACUGAGGCGCGAAAGCUAGGGGAGCAAACGGG
rnacentral:rRNA from 1 species